GAUGGAAUUGACAGCGCAAAUCUUACCCGGCAGUUAAAACGAAAACGCUGCUGCGAGGCAAACAUCGUCGCGCCGUGUAUAAUUGAGAAACGGCUCCGACAUUAAUUACCUACGUAUGGUGCAACAACUUUGGCUGCCUCUAGCGGUUGCUGCUUACCUCGGAAUGCCGUCUAUAAUUACUAAUCCUGAAACUAUCAAAUGGAGAACAAUGUUUUACAUUUUCCGAAACGUCAAACAUUCCUUGCUCUUAUCUACUUCCUACAUUGCAACGUAAUUUGACGUAUAUGUAAUUAAUGUUCGGAUAGCGACAAUGAGCAUUCUCCUUUUGUUGAAUUUUAUGAUCUAUCAUAAAAGUUCCCCGAUGGUGCUGUAAGAUACUAUACAGUGCAAAAUCAUUAAUCGCUAUGCAUCCGCAGAAACUGGUUUGAAAAUUCUGAUUGCUCAAAUUAUUUGGAGAAUUAAGACAACCCCGAAGACAACAUUUAUUGAGAAUAGGUAAAAGAAUUUCUUAAAUAUCAAAGUAUCGAUUAUUAAA